AUUGAACGCUGGCGGAAUGCUUUACACAUGCAAGUCGAGCGGCAGCGCGGGGCAACCUGGCGGCGAGCGGCGAACGGGUGAGUAAUGCAUCGGAACAUGUCCAUGUCGUGGGGGAUAGCCCGGCGAAAGCCGGAUUAAUACCGCAUACGCCCGAGAGGGGAAAGUGGGGGACCGCAAGGCCUCACGCGAUUGGGUUGGCCGAUGUCCGAUUAGCUAGUUGGCGGGGUAAGAGCCCACCAAGGCGAUGAUCGGUAGCUGGUCUGAGAGGAUGAUCAGCCACACUGGGACUGAGACACGGCCCAGACUCCUACGGGAGGCAGCAGUGGGGAAUUUGGACAAUGGGGGCAACCCUGAUCCAGCCAUUCCGCGUGAGUGAAGAAGGCCU
rnacentral:rRNA from 1 species